rnacentral:lncRNA from 1 species
CGUGAGCCCACCGCGCCCGACCUCAGUUCUUUUUCUAAUUAGAAAAUUCACUGAUUGUCUAACAAAACUCCACCAUCUGCUUCUUUGAACCUCACCUAUGUCUGCAGGGAAAGAACUGGGUCAGAAAGGGCAGUAAUUGUAGAAGCAGGUAAAUUAAGGGCUUUUCAGGCCAGAAGUCACUUGUGAUUUUUCCACUGUGCUUCUUCCCCUGGGGAGAGAGAACCUUAAGUCCACUUCCUUACACGUUGCUCCCAGGUGGCAAAACAGAAGUCACUGCUCAAAGGUCCGAUUUUCAAGGGGAACUCCCUAGACGGCAGAUCCCCUUUAAAACAGCUGAGACAAACACAAGCGUAAACUUUUUCAAAAUAAUCUGCCAUACAAAGUGAAGAGAAGCCCAAAGACAUACACAGUGAUAAAUAAGAACAAAAACAUAGACUAACGGACCUCGAGAUACUUUACCGUCAAUUAACAAUAACCAUGUUAGGCUGCCCAACUCACAGAGUCAAAGGACAGACCUCUCUCCUUGCGCGCCUCUGCGCCAGACCGGCUUUCGGCUUGCUUAUCGUGGGGCUCUGAACGGUCACUGUGCGGCCAGGGAAGUCUCCAGCACAGCCUCGGGAAGACAUUCCUAUUACAUAUUUAUCACUUUGGCGCUGGCCAUUCGUGACAGGUGGGAGACGAGUGAGGCAAGGAGCUUUCCGCCAGGCUGAGGUCGCCG